CCUACGGGAGGCAGCAGUGGGGAAUUGUUCGCAAUGGGCGCAAGCCUGACGACGCAACGCCGCGUGGAGGAUGAAGAUCUUCGGGUCGUAAACUCCUGUCGAGUGGGAAGAAUAGUUUCGGGGCUAACAUCCCCGGAGCCUGACGGUACCACUAAAGGAAGCCCCGGCUAACUCCGUGCCAGCAGCCGCGGUA
rnacentral:rRNA from 1 species